rnacentral:tRNA from 1 species
GCCAAAAUGAUGGAAUUGGUAGACAUGCUAGGUUUAGGUUCUAGUUCUUCGGAGUAGGGGUUCAAGUCCCCUUUUUGGUA